GACGAACGCUGGCGGCGUGCUUAACACAUGCAAGUCGAACGAUGAAGAAAAGAAUCGAAGCUUCGGCAGAAAUUCAUUUCGGAUUAGUGGCAGACGGGUGAGUAACGCGUGAGCAACCUACCUCUUACAAAGGGAUAGCCUCGGGAAACCGGGAUCAAUACCAUAUAACAUUGUGACGAAGCAUUUCGAUGCAAUCAAAGCUACGGCGGUAAGAGAUGGGCUCGCGUCCCAUUAACCGGAUGGUGAGGUAACGGCUCACCAUAGUGACGAUGGGUAACCGGCCUGAGAGGGUGAACGGUCACACUGGAACUGAGACACGGUCCAGACUCCUACGGGAGGCAGCAGUGGGGAAUAUUGCACAAUGGAGGGAACUCUGAUGCAGCGACGCCGCGUGAGUGAUGAAGGAAUUCGUUUCGUAAAACUCUGUUCUAUGGGAAGAAAAGGACUGUACCAUAGGAGAAAGCUCCGGCUAAAUACGUG
rnacentral:rRNA from 1 species